rnacentral:rRNA from 1 species
CACGUAGGGCGCAAGCGUUGUCCGGAAUUAUUGGGCGUAAAGAGCUCGUAGGCGGUCUGUUGCGUCCGCUGUGAAAACUCGGGGCUUAACCCCGAGCCUGCAGUGGAUACGGGCAGACUAGAGGUAGGUAGGGGAGAAUGGAAUUCCCGGUGUAGCGGUGAAAUGCGUAGAUAUCAAGAGGAACACCUGAGGUGAAGACGGGUUGCUGGGCCAACACUGACGCUGAUGCGCGAAAGCCAGGGGAGCAAACGGG